GAUGAACGCUGGCGGCGUGCCUAAUACAUGCAAGUCGAGCGAACAGACGAGGAGCUUGCUCCUCUGACGUUAGCGGCGGACGGGUGAGUAACACGUGGAUAACCUACCUAUAAGACUGGGAUAACUUCGGGAAACCGGAGCUAAUACCGGAUAAUAUAUUGAACCGCAUGGUUCAAUAGUGAAUGACGGUUUUGCUGUCACUUAUAGAUGGAUCCGCGCCGCAUUAGCUAGUUGGUAAGGUAACGGCUCACCCAGGCGACGAUGCGUAGCUGACCUGAGAGGAUGAUCAGCCACACUGGAACUGAGACACGGUCCAGACUCCUACGGGAGGCAGAAGUGGGGAAUAUUGGACAAUGGGCGCAAGCCUGAUCCAGCCAUACCGCGUGGGUGAAGAAGGCCUUCGGGUUGUAAAGCCCUUUUGUUGGGAAAGAAAAGCAGCAGGUUAAUACCCCGCUGUUCUGACGGUACCCAAAGAAUAAGCACCGGCUAACUUCGUG
rnacentral:rRNA from 1 species